AAGUCGUAACAAGGUUUCCGUAGGUGAACCUGCGGAAGGAUCAUUAAUACGUAUCCACGUAUCAACCGAAUCGUGAACUCGUUCUCCGCCUUGGUUUUGUGAGAGAUUUGCGGUCAGUUAACUCCUCUCUAGGGCGGAGUUUUGAUGAUGUGCAACUGACUGGUCCUAGGAGAUUGUUUCUCUCUUCAGAGGGAAGCUUCUGCUAGCUCACCCAAGUGUGGCUCAACAAUUUGACGCAUCAUCAUUUUAAUUUAUUUAACCCCAUGUACAACAUUUUGAACUAAACAAAUCUUGGCGAAAGCUCAAGAAAAUCCGAAAUUAUGAAACAACUCUUAACAACGGAUAUCUUGGUUCUC
rnacentral:misc_RNA from 1 species